CUCCAGAAGACAUGGACGUAAUUCAAAGAAGACUAACCGACAUUCAAAGAAUAGAGAAACAAAAUUUCAAAGCUAAACAAAAUAAAAAGUUCAAACGAGACCGUUUAAACCAACAAAGUUCCGUUUUUGAAGAAGAUCAAAUUUUAAACUUGUUAAAAGAGAGUAAAUCAAAACAACCGAGGAAAAGACGUUUUAAAAAACAGAAACACACAGUUCAAGAUAAGUUAGUUGUCAAUCUGUCAUCAAUAGAACUAACUACCUCUGAAGAAAAACUAUUGAGUAAAGGCCUUAAUUUCUGUCCAGCUCCAGCAACCGUC
rnacentral:lncRNA from 1 species